rnacentral:lncRNA from 1 species
AAUAGUUUGUGCUCUCUUCAUCUUUUGUCACAGGAUCUGAGACUCCCACUACCUCUGUAGCUGACACAGUCUCUGAGACUGACACUGCACCUGAGACAGUCAUCAUCCCUAAGGCUGAAAUUGUGCCUGAGACUGGGACUGUCCCUGAGAAUCCCAUCGUCCCUGAGACUAACAUUGUCCCUGAGUCUGUCAUGGUCCCUGAGAAUGACAUAGUCCCUGAGACUAACACUGUCUCUCUGACUGACAUUGUCCCUGAGUCCGUCAGUGUCCCUGAGACUGGCAUUGUCCCUGAGACCGUCAGUGUCCCUGAGACUACCAUUGUCCCUGAGACUACCAUUGUCCCUGAGACCGACAUUGUCCCUGAGACCGUCAUUAUCCCUGAGACUGACAUUGUUCCUGAGACUGACAUUGUCCCUGAGACCGUCAUUGUCCCUGAGACCGUCAUUGUCCCUGAGACCGUCAUUGUCCCUGAGACCGUCAUUGUCCCUGAGACCGUCAUUGUCCCUGAGACUGACAUUGUGCAUGAGACUGACAUUGUCCCUGAGACUGACACUGCCUCAGAGAUAACACUGCCCUUGACACUGACACUGCCUCUGAGACUUUCACUGCCUAUUACACUCACACAGCCUCUCAGACUAAACCUCCCUCUGAGACUGACACUCCCUCUGAGACUGGCCCUGCGUCUAAAAAUGACACUUCCACUGAAUGUGACACUGCCUGUCAGACUAACACUGCCUCUCAGAUUGACCCUGCCUCUCAAAUUGAGACUGCCUCAUAGACCGGCACUGCAUCUCAGACUGACAGUGCAUUUCAAACUGAUAGUACAUCUCAGACUGACACUGCCUCGAAGACAACACUGCCUCGUGACUUCCACUGCCUCAAAGACUGACACCGCAUCAGAGCCUACCACUGCCUCUGAGACUGACACUACCUCGGAGACUGCCCUUCAAUAUAAUGAGGGUGCCAGGGGCUCUGAGACUGACGCUACCUCUGAGACUGACGCUACCUCGGAGACUGACGCUACCUCGGAGACUGACGCUACCUCAGAGACUGACGCUACCUCAGAGACUGACACUACCUCAGAGACUGACACUACCUCUGAAGCUUCCACUGUCUCUGACUCUGACUUUGAAAAUCAGAUGGCUACUGCCUCUGAACUGCCAAUGGAUCUGAUCCAGCUACUGCUUCUCAGACAUCCACUGUCUCUGAGACUGACACUCCCUGAAGACCUGAGCCCCUUUUAACGUACAGAAUAUAUACUAUUCUUUAUAUGGUGCAAUAAAAAA